UGGGAGUCUUUAAUGAAUAAGGGGUGCUUUAAAAAAUCUGUGUACUUUCUAUGACAUAUACUUAUAUUUUGUAUUUCUACGUUAGUUAAUGAUGCAGAUAUGGGUAUUUUAAAACUCGAAGUCCAUGGCCCUCAUGGAACUUAUUUUCUAAGAAAUGAAACAGGUAGUUCAGUUGACCCUUGAACCACUCGGCUUGGAGCUGUGUGGGUUCACUUAUAGUCAAAAUUUCCUGUGCCUCUGCCACUCCUGAGACAGAAAGAGUAAUCCCUCUAAUUCCUCCUCUUCCUAAGCCUAAUCAACCUGAAGAUGACGAGGAUGAAAACCUUUCUGAUGAUCCACUUCCAUUUAAUGAAUAGUUCAAAGUGUUGCAAUGUGUACAAAAUAAGAGGAGUGUCUGUGCCUUUGAAAG
rnacentral:lncRNA from 10 species